AGCGAACGCUGGCGGCAGGCCUAACACAUGCAAGUCGAACGAAGUCUUCGGACUUAGUGGCGGACGGGUGAGUAACACGUGGGAACGUGCCCAUCAGUUCGGAACAACCCAGGGAAACUUGGGUUAAUACCGGAUACGCCCUUACGGGGAAAGAUUUAUCGCUGAUGGAGCGGCCCGCGUCUGAUUAGCUUGUUGGUGAGGUAACGGCUCACCAAGGCGACGAUCAGUAGCUGGUCUGAGAGGAUGAUCAGCCUCACUGGGACUGAGACACGGCCCAGACUCCUACGGGAGGCAGCAGUGGGGAAUAUUGGACAAUGGGCGCAAGCUUGAUCCAGCCAUGCCGCGUGGAUGAUGAAGGCCCUAGGGUUGUAAAGUCCUUUCGGCGGGGAAGAUAAUGACGGUACCCGCAGAAGAAGCCCCGGCUAACUUCGUGCCAGCAGCCGCGGUAACAC
rnacentral:rRNA from 1 species